rnacentral:tRNA from 1 species
GCGUGAGUGGUCUAAUGGUAUGAUUUCCCGCUUCCAACGAGACGACCCGGGUUCGAUUCCCGGCUCGCGCA